GUCGCGAAGGCUCUGGUUCAACGGGGCGAUUCUUUGAUUAAGCCGCGCCAAUCACAAAACAUAAUUAGUGGUUUUAGUACAGAUUCUGUACAAUUUAUUAUUUACUGUCGAAGGCUCUGGAAUCCAGGGUAAGGCUACAGUAUAAAACAGACUAAGCGCAUAGGCGACAUAUAGUAAAUUACAGACUAUUUUGCCUAACCGUAUUUGCUACCUCACAGCUCACACGAAAUCGUUCAUAUAAAAACAUCAUCAGUGAUCACAGGCAAUGUCUCAUUACCGGAAUAUUGGUCAGGUUUCGAUCGAAGCGAUCACGGGAAUUAUGCCCUUUUUUGCUGGUAUUAUGCCCUUAUAAUAUGCCCUUCAUUAUGCUUCACGAAUCACGAGGGCGGCGCAAAUUAGAUAGUUGAAGUUAUGAUAACUGAUGUAAAGUUGUGUACGCAAUUUAGUUGUUUGCGCAAGAAGCAUGAGUAAUGUAAGUAAUGAAAUAAUGCUGAAACAUGCCCUUUGGGCAGCCAGGCAAAGAAACCUUAAAAUGCAUAUGCGUGUGUUAUUGUAUAAAAGAGCUUUAAGUUGUAAUUGUCCUCAGAACAGUAGAUCAGUAUAUAGAGAACAGAAUUGGGAUUAAAUUAAUCGCUGGAAGUAGUUAGCAUUGCAUAAUUUAAGUACUACAACUAAAUUCUAACUGGCAAAUUUCGACACGUUAUAAUGCCGUCCCCCGACCAUCAGAUUUCUGUCAAAUCUUCCCCCAAAGUCCAGGAAAUGGCAUUUCAAAGACUCUAAAUUAAAAAAUUUUCCUGGGGCCAUGCCCCCGGACCCCCCUAGACAAACCUCGCACCUCCGGCACUCGGCUCGUGCCUUCGGCCCUCGUUUAUCAAGUGUAACAUUAUAGGGGCGCAUAUUGGUUGACAGCCCACUGGCCCCUCCAGAAAAAUAGUACCCAGCACGCCACUGCCCGCCUGCCACACCCAAAACCCAAUGGUAAAAACAGUUCUUGUCUCGGAAUGGACUACUCCCCCCCUCACCAAACAAAUGAUCCUGGUUAAUUGCCACUGUACGAUAGAUAAUAAUAUCAGACCAUGCAAAGUUAAUUAAUAUCUCUUUCAUUGUUAUAUAAAAUUAAUGUAUAAUAUUAAUUGGGCAUAAAUAUUUGUGAUUUAAUCAAGAAUUUUAAAUUUCCAUAGAAUGUCAUUUAUGGACAAAAGAUUGACACAAUUCCAAAGUUUAAUUGAUGAGUGUGCACCUGUUUCAAAGCCAGUCAUUUUCUUGAUGGACAACAUAAAUAUGUAUCAUGGGAACAGUCCGAACAGGACUCAUCACCGACUGUUUAAAGUACUUGGUCAAAAAAUGAGGAACUUUACAGUUCGCGGCUUAGCUAUUCCAGAUUUAACAACAAUAGAAUAUUUGUUUCAUGACAAGGAAACAGCAGAAGAACAACAAAAGGAUAAAGUUACUGCAUGGGAUACUUUCAUAGGUAAGAGCUGCAUGCAAAUUACACUAAAAAUUGUGUUUGUAACUAUAAUAUACUGUACAAUAUAACAAUAUUACAGUACAGUAAAAAUGUUAUUAGAUUACAGGUUCUGUCCACAUGUAUCUGAUGUUGUCAUCUACUGAAAACCCAAUAAUCUGGAAGCAGUCUUCUGAGGGUAGAUACUUUCAACCUCGUACCCAGUGCUAGCCGCGAAUUGAAGGCGACGGCAUAGCCCUGGUAAACGCUGGUCACGUGACUACAACAUUACGUAAUUGUUACUUUUCUCAACCGGGGGGUGAAUGCUAGAGGUGAAACUCGAAGACAAACAGUUUUUAUCUCAGAAAUUCUUCAAUCUUCCCUGUGAAUUUUGCAUUUCAAGCUUUUCUCAAAGUACGGCGAUCGAUCAAAUGGAUCAAUACUUUCUGUAGAAAAAACUCAGUGAGAUUUGUUCGAAUGAGACGUUUAAAAGACUUGGAUAUGUCGCUCAACACGCUCGAUCAUUUGCACAGGUUUAUGGUUUAGUACUUUGUUCAGUUUGUUGCGACUUGCGAAGCAAAUGAAUGCAAAUUCAACUCUUGUAUAAUGACUAAAAGUUGGUUUGUAGAGGGACAACUUAUGCAAAAGAUAUGAAUACUUGAGCUUCAAACUAGGAACAAGUUCAAUCAUGGACAUCCUUAUUAAA